rnacentral:rRNA from 1 species
GAUGAACGCUGGCGGCGUGCCUAAUACAUGCAAGUCGAGCGAACAGACGAGGAGCUUGCUCCUCUGACGUUAGCGGCGGACGGGUGAGUAACACGUGGAUAACCUACCUAUAAGACUGGGAUAACUUCGGGAAACCGGAGCUAAUACCGGAUAAUAUAUUGAACCGCAUGGUUCAAUAGUGAAAGACGGUUUUGCUGUCACUUAUAGAUGGAUCCGCGCCGCAUUAGCUAGUUGGUAAGGUAACGGCUUACCAAGGCAACGAUGCGUAGCCGACCUGAGAGGGUGAUCCGCCACACUGGAACUGAGACACGGUCCAGACUCCUACGGGAGGCAGCAGUAGGGAAUCUUCCGCAAUGGGCGAAAGCCUGACGGAGCAACGCCGCGUGAGUGAUGAAGGUCUUCGGAUCGUAAAACUCUGUUAUUAGGGAAGAACAAAUGUGUAAGUAACUAUGCACGUCUUGACGGUACCUAACCAGAAAGCCACGGCUAACUACGUG